GAGCUGUGAGGAUAUCCAGUGCUUUACGAGAUAGAGGGGUCUAUCUCACUCGUCUGAUUAUCCGACGAAAUAUAGCGCUUCUGAGCUC